rnacentral:lncRNA from 1 species
GAGCACUUCCUAUGUUGAGUUUAUACCAAUGUCUAGCUUUUUCUGUUAAAGAGAACGAAAAGAGCUUCCAUUUAAGGGUCUCAUCGGACAUGCCUUCAAUGUGAAGGAGGUCACAGACUCGAUAAAACUCUCUUAGGUGUGUGUAUGGGUUUUCCUCACCUUCUCCUGAGAAAGGUUGUUUUUGAAGAAAUUCUAUGUAUUCUAGGCUUAUCUCAAAACUAGAUGUCAUGAUAGGGUUUGAAGAUUUUGGUGGUUUGAGAUUUGUGCUCGUAGGUCUAUUAAACUGAUAGAUAGACAUGUUUGAAUUCACGAUAGACCAGAGAUCAAGGACUAGAUAAGAAGAAAGAAUAGCAGAGAUAAGGCAAAGGAUAAAAGGAAAAAUAUUUUUUUUAUUUUUUUAGAAAAUGAUUAAGCUAGUUCGUAGUCAACUCAGCAACCGUCUCCCCGGCAAUGGCACCAAAAAGCUUGUGACACUUGCUAACACCACUUGAAUACUAGGUUGUCAUCCCCAGCAUGGCACUAGAGUGUACUAUGGUAUUUAUACGCACACAGAUAAAUCCGCAAGCGCACGGAUACCGUUGUAGCUUUUACCCAGUUAAAGGUUUUAUCGUAUCCAUAGGGAAACGGGAGAACUGAUCUACGCUCUAACUUAACCUAGAUAGAUAGGUAGGUGUAAAUAGGAAAGAUGGUAGAAUUGAAUAAGAACAAUAUUAAAGGUAAGAUAACAAUGGGUGAUAAUAUGGGAAUAGAGAGUAGAGGAAUCUAGUAUAUGGGCGAUAAUAGGAGAAUAAAGAGGAUAACUAUGGUUUCUCUACUUCAAAGGGGUAUGUCUAUGUCUGGGACGAACCACGUGAUAAGAUUACACCAUAAAGGAUGCUUAUCCAUAGGCCGAUAAACCCUACCAGUCCUGCUAACGGGAGGUGGACUACAGAGGACCAACGUAGCUGUCACCUACGCGACCUACCACAUGAUGUGGCUAGAUAGGGGAUAUCCAUAAGUAAUCUAGGUCUAAGCACCACGCUUACACCUAUACUACAACCCUCACCUAUAGCGUCCUAUAGAUUAAAGUACUCAAAAGAGUUUUGAACCAGAACAUACA